AUUAAAGCAUGUUUUAUAUCGUGCUGGAGUUUUCUUUUUAAAUAACUCAUGAACAGAAAACAGCAGCUGGAUUAGAUGAUGUGGUUAUUGGGCUAGUCUUUGAAGGGAGGUGGUAGGUACAUUCUUUCUAUAUUUAAACGAUCUCAUUGUAGCAUGCAUCGCAAGCCUAACAUUGUUUAUGGAAUUGGAUGGUAAAUGAGUAAGAGAUAGUCAUUGUUUGCUGUGCAUAAAGAUGGCGGCUAUUUGUUAGCUUAGGUGCCUCUCUCUACUAGACGAUGCUAAAUAGUCAUCUACAAGAGACAUGCCUGGUUUGUGUUUGGUUUUUUGGUUUUCAGAUACGGUGAAACAAGCAGCGGUGUUACAUUCAAUGUCUGACUGGUCAAAUGAGAGAGAACAGAAUAUGAUAAACAGUGGAAUAGACUGCAGAAAGGGACUGAAAAAAAUCUUGUACACUGAAACAGGCUUAGUACUUCUUUCUCUGAUUGGAAAUCUGUAUGGUCUGCUUGAUAUUCACAGGAAGGCUGGAGCCAGAUUCACUGAUUGAAGAUUUAUGUUUUCCAAUUUAUAAACUGUUUACUGAAGGUACAAUGGGCUUUUUACAGAGAAUACGUCAGGCUAGUUGAGACAUUGGUUCACAGAAGAUAGCUACUGCCUGUCAGAAUGGUGAAAUGGUCAGUGAGCUUUGCUUUUUACCAAAAGUCUGAAUCCCAAUUUCAAUUGAAAAAGUUAAAUUGGAAAUGCAGAUUCCUUAUCAUUCUUUCACUGAAUUUAAUCUUUAAGACUAACACAUAGGGAAGAUUAGAAAUUUUAAUGGAUUACUGGGAAUAAAUUCUAAACAACAGACAUUUAUUAUAAUUGAUAAAAACUAAUAUUUUAUGAGGGAAUUAGAAUAUCCCUUGAGUACUGUUUAUACACAUUGAGGGAAGGAAAAAUGAUUUACUUUUCAGUUGAAAAUCAUUUGGGGAUUGAAACCACCAUUGCACAUUUGUAACUGAGACAGUGAAAGAGAUCUGACUUAACCCACUCUAUCUUGCUUCUAAUCUCCAAGUUGUCCUUGUUCAUUCAUGGGCAUAGGCUGAACUAACUUUGGGAGGAACUUAGUUUAUACUUUAAAACAAAGACGAUAACAGCCCUUUCCCCAAACAACCUCCUUCUUGCCUGGGGACUAGACAGCCUUUGUAGGACUAACAAAUUAGCCACAAGAUUAGAAAUUGUGGUUUAGGAGUCAUACAGGUGGAGGCUACAAGAUUCUGACCCUUCCUAAACUUCUCCUAAGAUCAGUGCUUGAGAUAUUUUGCAGACCCUGCACUUGAUGAAUCUGCUAUCACCACCAAGAUCAAUAAACUGGCUCAGCUGGUCUUGUGGGCCCUACCCAGGCACUGACUCAGCACAAGAAGAUAGCUUCAAGUCCCAUCUCUGACCUAACCAAUCAGUACUCCCAGCUCAGUGGCUUUCCCCAACCCACCAAGUUGUCCUUAAAAACUCUGAUCCCUGAAUGUUCAGGGAGACGGAUUUGAGUAAUAGUAAAACACCAGUUUCCCCCACAGCUGGCUC
ensembl:lncRNA